AGCGUCUGUGAACAUUCGCUGCGUCCGCUCCCUAGACGCGGCCCCAAGCGCGGGGUGGCUGGAGGCGGAGUCCGAUCCUGGCCGCGAUAGUCCGCCGGGAUGAACCUGGAGUUGUUGGAGUCCUUUGGACAGAACUACCCAGAGGAAGCUGAUGGAACUUUGGAUUGCAUCAGUAUGGCCCUGACCUGUACCUUUAACAGAUGGGGCACACUGCUCGCUGUUGGCUGUAAUGAUGGCCGAAUUGUCAUCUGGGAUUUCUUGACAAGAGGCAUUGCUAAAAUAAUUAGUGCCCACAUACAUCCUGUCUGUUCCUUAUGCUGGAGUCGAGAUGGUCACAAGCUUGUGAGCGCAUCAACUGAUAACAUAGUGUCACAGUGGGAUGUCUUAUCUGGGGACUGUGAUCAGAGAUUUCGAUUUCCUUCACCUAUACUGAAAGUCCAGUAUCAUCCCCGAGAUCAGAACAAAGUUCUUGUAUGUCCCAUGAAAUCAGCUCCUGUUAUGUUGACCCUUUCUGAUUCCAAACAUGUCGUCUUGCCAGUAGAUGAUGAUUCUGAUCUGAAUGUAGUGGCAUCUUUUGAUAGACGAGGAGAAUAUAUUUACACAGGGAAUGCAAAGGGGAAGAUCUUGGUCCUAAAAACAGAUACCCAGGAUCUAGUUGCUUCUUUCAGAGUAACAACUGGGACCAGCAAUACCACAGCUAUAAAAUCAAUAGAAUUUGCUCGGAAGGGGAGCUGCUUUCUAAUAAAUACAGCAGAUCGAAUAAUCCGAGUAUAUGAUGGCAGGGAAAUUUUAACCUGUGGCAGAGAUGGAGAACCAGAACCCAUGCAGAAAUUGCAGGAUUUGGUAAACAGGACACCUUGGAAGAAAUGUUGCUUCUCUGGAGAUGGAGAAUACAUAGUUGCAGGCUCUGCCCGACAGCAUGCCCUAUAUAUAUGGGAGAAGAGUAUUGGUAAUUUGGUAAAGAUUCUUCAUGGAACUAGAGGAGAACUUCUGUUGGAUGUAGCUUGGCAUCCAGUCCGACCCAUAAUAGCAUCCAUUUCUAGUGGAGUGGUAUCUAUCUGGGCACAAAAUCAAGUGGAAAACUGGAGUGCGUUUGCACCAGACUUUAAAGAGCUGGACGAAAAUGUGGAGUAUGAGGAAAGGGAGUCAGAGUUUGACAUUGAGGAUGAAGAUAAGAGCGAGCCAGAACAAACAGGUGCUGAUGCUGCAGAGGAUGAGGAAGUGGAUGUCACUAGUGUAGAUCCUAUAGCUGCUUUUUGUAGCAGUGAUGAGGAGCUGGAAGAUUCAAAGGCUUUGUUAUAUUUACCCAUUGCACCUGAGGUAGAAGAUCCAGAGGAAAAUCCUUAUGGACCCCCACCUGAUGCUGUCCAAACUUCACUGAUGGAAGAAGGAGCUGGUUCAGAGAAGAAGAGACAGUCCUCAGCUGAUGGGCCCCAGCCACCGAAGAAGAAAACCAAAACCACCAACAUUGAGCUGCAAGGAGUACCUAGUGAUGAAGUCCAUCCGCUACUGGGGGUGAAGGGGGAUGGCAAAUCGAAGAAGAAGCAAGCAGGCCGGCCUAAAGGAUCAAAAGGUAAAGAGAAAGAUUCUCCAUUUAAACCGAAACUCUACAAAGGGGACAGAGGUUUACCUCUGGAAGGAGCAGCGAAGGGUAGAGUGCAGGCGGAGCCCAGCCAACCCUUGACAGUAGCCCAGUGCCAAUAAUGAAGUUGGUGGUUGUACACUCCAGAAUGGCUAGGAAGGAAGAUGAAGUUUUUGAGGUACAUACCAUCAUGAUGUCAGGACCUGAAAAUGGGAGGAGAAACCUGGGAGGAGCUGACCAGAAAAGCAGCUACUGGGAUGUAGAAGCUGCAGUGUCUGUCAGGGGGAGCCAUCUCAGAGCUGUUGUGAAGACAACCAUGGGAGUUCGCCAUUCUUUACCCACUCUGCGGUCCUGCGGCCUCGGACCCUGUGCUUGGACGGAUAAGACUGACUUACAUAUAAGACCAAGGUUGAAUGAAGGGAAUUAUGAAAGAAGAGUGACUUUCCCCAGCCCUCCCUCUCAAAGCAUAAUUCUGAAUAGACUCAGGAAAAGAGGACUUGCAAAGCCUUGAAUGGGAGUCGCGGCUGGUGUAGAUGGAAUGGCUUAGUUAUGCUGCUGGAACACCGCCCACGUUUUCUUUGUGUGACCUCCCUUAGCUAAGCGUCACCUGGGUGCGCCUUUUCCCACCUUCUGCUGUGUCAUCCCUCAGCGCAUGUCCUCGAGUGAAUUGUUGUUCUGUGUGACUUCUCCCUCUUGUCUCCUAGAAAAGGAUCUGUUGCAUACUCUACUCUUUUCUCUCUCUUUUUUUCCCUAACCCAGUCAACAUGUAAAGGCCUGUAUUCCAAGAUAAAUCAUCCUUUUUCAGAACAGGCAAGAAAAUGAAGUGCUUAUAAUCCAAAAAGCUCAGGAAAAAUGUAGAGCCAUCAGAAAGGGAAGACAGAUAAGAAACUCAAUUUGACUAUCAUAUAACCUUUUCCCCAAGAGAUGGGGAUAUAAAAUGUUCUUUUUUAAAAAACUUUUUGUUUAUUCCAUUUUAGCCUUCAGCAUCAAUUUAAUCUAUCUAAAUCAUGUUUUUGAAGACAGGGAUUUUCACCUGUCCCAGGCAAAGUAGCACAUAAGAGAUUUUUUUUGUUUGGCUGCCAUGUGCAGACUUAUAGAGAAGAAACCAUACAAAGGUGUCUCUGAGCCUCUGAAUAUCUAUGCAAGGUCUAAAAUGGAGCUGUCCAAAAUCAGAUCAAAUCAAAGUUCAAAGUGAAAUUUUUUUUUCAUUAUUCUCCAUGCAUUUGCCCUUUCCUCAAAACAUCAGUGUUGCCCCCGUUUGUCUAUGUUGUAAGCAGUUUUUUUCCUCCUUACAGUUCCUCUUUUUAACAUUUUCUUUUGGUCACUUCCUUUCUGUGAAAGGCUUCUCUGUUAUCUCAGUUUCUCCACCACCAUUCAUGAAACAAGAGUGGCAGAUGAAAUGUGUACACACACAAGAAACCUUUAUAUUUUUAAAAAUUGCCCAGAGUUCUUUUCCCUUCCAUUGCUGGUACUUUGUGAACCUGUGUAGCUCAUCAUUUCACCUCUUCUGUUUAUGUUGUGUUGCUUACUUUCUCAAAAGUUCAUUUUAGGGAAGGAAAGUAUGGAAUGAAAAUCCACAAACCUAGGUGCAGUAUUCAUCUAGCUAUAUUUAUUUUAAUUUGAAGGUAGUUAUUUUCUCUUUACUUCUUGAGGAAAGCUUUAGAAUAGUUUAUGCUAUAGCGUGAGGAGGAACCCACUGAGCUCAUUGAUGAACCAAGAAAGAGAUGAAUCAGGUUAUUUGAUAGGAUGUUUGAGGAAUAGUGGGAGAAACAAAAUAUGUCUGAAAGAGCCUUCCUUACCUUUUCACUUGUUCAUGUAAGAGAAAGGUCCAUUUCUCAAAGUAUGUGACAAAGUU